rnacentral:rRNA from 1 species
AUUGAACGCUGGCGGCAGGCCUAACACAUGCAAGUCGAGCGGAUGAAGGGAGCUUGCUCCUGGAUUCAGCGGCGGACGGGUGAGUAAUGCCUAGGAAUCUGCCUGGUAGUGGGGGAUAACGUCCGGAAACGGGCGCUAAUACCGCAUACGUCCUGAGGGAGAAGGUGGGGGAGCUUCGGACCUCACGCUAUCAGAUGAGCCUAGGUCGGAUUAGCUAGUUGGUGGGGUAAAGGCCUACCAAGGCGACGAUCCGUAACUGGUCUGAGAGGAUGAGCAGUCACACUGGAACUGAGACACGGUCCAGACUCCUACGGGAGGCAGCAGUGGGGAAUAUUGGACAAUGGGCGAAAGCCUGAUCCAGCCAUGCCGCGUGUGUGAAGAAGGUCUUCGGAUUGUAAAGCACUUUAAGUUGGGAGGAAGGGCAGUAAGUUAAUACCUUGCUGUUUUGACGUUACCAACAGAAUAAGCACCGGCUAACUUCGUG